rnacentral:rRNA from 1 species
AGCGAACGCUGGCGGCAGGCUUAACACAUGCAAGUCGAACGGGCGUAGCAAUACGUCAGUGGCAGACGGGUGAGUAACACGUGGGAACAUGCCCUUCGGUUCGGAAUAACUCAGGGAAACUUGAGCUAAUACCGGAUACGUCCGAGAGGAGAAAGAUUUAUCGCCGAGGGAUUGGCCCGCGUCUGAUUAGCUAGUUGGUGAGGUAACGGCUCACCAAGGCGACGAUCAGUAGCUGGUCUGAGAGGAUGAUCAGCCACACUGGGACUGAGACACGGCCCAGACUCCUACGGGAGGCUG